GGCCAGCAUCAGUUUUGAUGGUGAGAUAAUCGCAGUUGAAUGUGGCUCUUCGGAGUGUUAUAGCUUCUGUUGAUAUCACUAUCGGGACUGAGGUCUGCGGUUUAUCCNAGGANGCUGGCGUAAU
rnacentral:rRNA from 1 species